UUCGCCCUUAGGGUUUGAUUAUGGCUCAGGACGAACGCUGGCGGCGUGCCUAAUACAUGCAAGUCGAGCGCAGGAAACCAGAUGACCCCUUCGGGGUGAUUCUGGCGGAAUGAGCGGCGGACGGGUGAGUAACACGUGGGCAACCUGCCUGUAAGACUGGGAUAACUUCGGGAAACCGGAGCUAAUACCGGAUAGUAUUUCCUUUCUCCUGAUCGGAAAUGGAAAGACGGUUUCGGCUGUCACUUACAGAUGGGCCCGCGGUGCAUUAGCUAGUUGGCGGGGUAAUGGCCCACCAAGGCGACGAUGCAUAGCCGACCUGAGAGGGUGAUCGGCCACACUGGGACUGAGACACGGCCCAGACUCCUACGGGAGGCAGCAGUAGGGAAUCUUCCGCAAUGGACGAAAGUCUGACGGAGCAACGCCGCGUGAGCGAUGAAGGCCUUCGGGUCGUAAAGCUCUGUUGUCAGGGAAGAACAAGUACAAGAGUAACUGCUUGUACCUUGACGGUACCUGACCAGAAAGCCCCGGCUAACUACGUGCCAGCAGCCGCGGUAAUACGUAGGGGGCAAGCGUUGUCCGGAAUUAUUGGGCGUAAAGGGCGCGUAGGCGGUUUCUUAAGUCUGAUGUGAAAGCCCACAGCUUAACUGUGGAGGGUCAUUGGAAACUGGGGAACUUGAGUGCAGAAGAGGAGAGUGGAAUUCCACGUGUAGCGGUGAAAUGCGUAGAUAUGUGGAGGAACACCAGUGGCGAAGGCGACUCUCUGGUCUGUAACUGACGCUGAGGCGCGAAAGCGUGNGGAGCGAACAGGAUUAGAUACCCUGGUAGUCCACGCCGUANACGAUGAGUGCUANGUGUUANGGGGUUUCCGCCCCCUAGUGCUGAAGUUAACGCAUUAAGCACUCCGCCUGGGGAGUACGGCCCGCAGGCUGAAACUCAAAGAAUUGACNGNNGCCCNGCACAGCGUGGAGCAUGUGGUUUAUUCGAAGCACGCGAAGAACUUACAGGGUCUGACAUCGCUGACACCUUGGAGACANGCGUUCCCUCGGAGACGCGUGACAGUGGUGCAUGGU
rnacentral:rRNA from 1 species